rnacentral:rRNA from 1 species
AACGCGAAGAACCUUACCAGGACUUGACAUGGAGGAGACGCGUACAGAGAUGUACGUUCCCGCGAGGGCUCCUUGCACAGGUGCUGCAUGGCUGUCGUCAGCUCGUGUCGUGAGAUGUUGGGUUAAGUCCCGCAACGAGCGCAACCCUCGCCUUCAGUUGCCAUCAGGUUUGGCUGGGCACUCUGGCGAAACCGCCUCGGAUAACGGGGAGGAAGGUGGGGAUGACGUCAAGUCCUCAUGGCCUUUAUGUCCAGGGCUACACACGUGCUACAAUGGCCGGUAUAAACCGCUGCAAACCCGCGAGGGGGAGCUAAUCGGAAAAAGCCGGCCUCAGUUCGGAUUGCAGUCUGCAACUCGACUGCAUGAAGCUGGAAUCGCUAGUAAUCGCAGAUCAGAAUGCUGCGUGAAUACGUUCCCGGGCCUUGUACACACCGACUGUAC